AUGCCUUAAACUUAUGAAUAAGGAAAAUAACAAUUUGGGGUGAGGCCAGAGUCCUGACUGCUAAUGUGAGACAAAUUUUUGAGCAGGUAAAGGUUGCCUCCUAAGGUGACCUGCCUACUUUGCAGGAUGCCUGGGUGAGACAGUCUGCCCG